AUUGAACGCUGGCGGCAGGCCUAACACAUGCAAGUCGAGCGGAUGAAGGGAGCUUGCUCCUGGAUUCAGCGGCGGACGGGUGAGUAAUGCCUAGGAAUCUGCCUGGUAGUGGGGGAUAACGUCCGGAAACGGGCGCUAAUACCGCAUACGUCCUGAGGGAGAAAGUGGGGGAUCUUCGGACCUCACGCUAUCAGAUGAGCCUAGGUCGGAUUAGCUAGUUGGUGGGGUAAAGGCCUACCAAGGCGACGAUCCGUAACUGGUCUGAGAGGAUGAUCAGUCACACUGGAACUGAGACACGGUCCAGACUCCUAAGAGAGGCAGCAGUGGGGAAUAUUGGACAAUGGGCGAAAGCAUGAUCCAGCCAUGCCGCGUGUGUGAAGAAGGUCUUCGGAUUGUAAAGAACUUUAAGUUGGGAGGAAGGGCAGUAAGUUAAUACCUUGCUGUUUUGACGUUACCAACAGAAUAAGCACCGGCUAACUUCGUG
rnacentral:rRNA from 1 species